GCAUCCAGCUGCGGUUUGGUAAUGACUGGAGUGACGUGUACGGAUCCCGGUCACUAAAAUAUAAAGAGUUCCUUCUGGAGGAUGGAGAGCACGUGACACAGGUGAGCGGCACCAGAAAGCUCUGCCUGACUUCCCUGAGCUUCACUACUAACAAGGAGCGAGCGCUCACCUUUGGUGUUAGAACAGGCCGCUCCUUUGAUGACAGUGGUGGUUCUGACAAGCAUCUAGUGACUGUCAAUGGUACACACACACCAGGCCUCUGCAUCACAGGGAUGGGCUUCAAAUGGGAAGUUAAUACAAAGGACUUGAAGGCCACCGAGCCUCCGAGAGAGCCAGUGGGUAGCUCUGAGGCUUCCGACAAGAAGGAAGAUGAAGGCAGAGACAAUGAUGAUGUUGAUGACGAAGACAAUAACAAAGAUGGUGAUGAUGGUGAUGAUGGUGAUGAUGGUGAUGAUGGUGAUGAUGGUGAGGAUGGUGAGGAUGGUGAGGAUGGUGAGGAUGGUGAGGAUGAUGAUGGUGGUGAUGACAACGACGGUGAUGAGGAAGAAGAGUAGCAUGUUCAGAGCUCAGCCCUGCAUCCCCGCAUUCCACCACCUCCUCUCAGCCAAGCUUACCCACUCACAGGGACCAAUAGACCAGGUGACCCUGGGCUGAAGUAGGCAAAGUCCAAAUGCCCUUUAUCUCUCUGUUCAAUAAAGUAUGUGCAUCUAUGUG
rnacentral:lncRNA from 1 species